rnacentral:rRNA from 1 species
UGAGGAAUAUUGGUCAAUGGACGAGAGUCUGAACCAGCCAAAUCGCGUGAAGGAAGACUGCCCUACGGGUUGUAAACUUCUUUUGUACAGUAAUAAAAGACAUUACGUGUAAUGUAUUGCAUGUACUGUACGAAUAAGCAUCGGCUAACUCCGUGCCAGCAGCCGCGGUAAUACGGAGGAUGCGAGCGUUAUCCGGAUUUAUUGGGUUUAAAGGGUGCGCAGGCGGGAUUUUAAGUCAGCGGUGAAAUUUUCAGGCUCAACCUGAACACUGCCGUUGAAACUGGGAUUCUUGAGUAUGGAUGAAGUAGGCGGAAUUCGUUGUGUAGCGGUGACAUGCUUAGAUAUAACGAGGAACUCCGAUUGCGUAGGCAGCUUACUAAGCCAUAACUGACGCUCAAGCACGAAAGCGUGGGGAUCAAACA